UACGGUUACCUUGUUACGACUUAGCCCCAAUCGCCGAGUUUACCUUCGGCCGUUCCAUCCUUACGGUUAAGAGACGGACUUCGGGUACCCCCGACUUUCGUGGCUUGACGGGCGGUGUGUACAAGGCCCGGGAACGUAUUCACCGCUGCCUGCUGAUCAGCGAUUACUAGCGAUUCCACCUUCAUGCAGUCGAGUUGCAGACUGCAAUCCGAACUGAGGCCGGCUUUUUGGGAUUGCCUCCACCUCGCGGUAUUGGAACCCUUUGUACCGACCAUUGUAGCACGUGUGUAGCCCUGGACGUAAGGGCCAUGAGGACUUGACGUCAUCCCCACCUUCCUCCGGCUUACCACCGGCAGUCUCUCUAGAGUGCCCGGCAUUAUCCGCUGGCAACUAAAGACAAGGGUUGCGUUCGUUGCGGGACUUAACCCAACAUCUCACGACACGAACUGACGACAGCCAUGCAGCACCUGCGCACCGGCCCCGAAGGGAAGGUGUGUUUCUACACCGGUCCGGUACAUGUCAAGUCCAGGUAAGGUUCUUCGCGUUGCGUCGAAUUAAACCACAUGCUCCACCGCUUGUGCGGGCCCCGUCAAUUCCUUUGAGAUUCAGCCUUGCGACCGUACUCCCCAGCGGAACACUUAAUGCGUUAGCUACGGCACGGAAAGGGUGACACCCCCACACCUAGUGUUCACCGUUACA
rnacentral:rRNA from 1 species